rnacentral:rRNA from 1 species
AGUGAACGCUGGCGGUAGGCCUAACACAUGCAAGUCGAACGGCAGCACAGUAAGAGCUUGCUCUUACGGGUGGCGAGUGGCGGACGGGUGAGGAAUACAUCGGAAUCUACUUUUUCGUGGGGGAUAACGUAGGGAAACUUUCGCUAAUACCGCAUACGACCUACGGGUGAAAGCAGGGGAUCUUCGGACCUUGCGCGAUUGAAUGAGCCGAUGUCGGAUUAGCUAGUUGGCGGGGUAAAGGCCCACCAAGGCGACGAUCCGUAGCUGGUCUGAGAGGAUGAUCAGCCACACUGGAACUGAGACACGGUCCAGGCUCCUACGGGAGGCAGCAGUGGGGAAUAUUGGACAAUGGGCGCAAGCCUGAUCCAGCCAUACCGCGUGGGUGAAGAAGGCCUUCGGGUUGUAAAGCCCUUUUGUUGGGAAAGAAAAGCAGCAGGUUAAUACCCCGCUGUUCUGACGGUACCCAAAGAAUAAGCACCGGCUAACUUCGUG